ensembl:lincRNA uncharacterized LOC106146456
CUCCAUUAGUUGUGGAAACAAUGUGCAGGGAUGCUGCUGAUUCAGUGCAGACCACAGGAAAAGGUGCAGCCUCAGAUCACAUGAGCCCUUCCCGAUCUGGUCCUUCCUGGCUCCUUGGGUCUUAUCUCCAUAUGGGGUGCAGGAUUGAUUCUGAUUCAGAAAGCAGCUGGACGUCGCUGUGAAGGCCACUUUGAAGACGAUGAGAAAGAGCAUUCUCUGGGACUGUGGAAGAGGAAGCGAAUCUGGUGGGAGGGAGCUCUGCAGGCUUUCUGUACAUAGGCCUUGGGCUCCUGGAUGAUACAGUGACUCUUGCCGUGUUACCCCCUACAACCACUACAGAGCUGGAAGGCGAUGAUGCAUACGGAAUCACAAUCCGUGUGCUCUGAUGACUGUCUUAUCUAAGCUCUGGCUGGGAACUUGAGAAUCUUGCCAUUAAACUCCUAUCUCAAAAUGCUCAUACUUUGUUUUUUAAUCCAAUCUUUCUCCAGGGCUUCUCAGCCUGUUGCUGGAACAGAGCCUCUUUGGCUGUGUAAUGAUAACCUAAUGAGUUCUGGGUGUCUCCUGAAGGCAACUGCUGGUGUGUCCCUUCCUCUUUAAGGGGAGGGGGGGCCUUGGGAUUCAGAACCGCAUUGAGGAUGAAACAAGCUCUCUGUCUGUG